AAAAUAUACAGAUUGGUGCCGUUCUGUUACGUGUAACAACUGCACAAGCGAUGUCACACUCACCCCGAAUGCAGUUCCACGUUGUACUUCAUUGUUUUUCACGUAUAGAGAAGGAAAAGAAUCAACAUAUGUCAGCAGUUAAAAUCCACCUACUCAACUCUAGAUAGCUGUUCCUGUGGAUCCAGAUGAAUGAAAAGAUCUCUGUGUGUUGCAAACAAUAGAAUGGGCUAAGAAUGGUAUUGUUGUGUCAAAGCCUGAAAUCUGCAUGGCACAGUUGUUAGAGCAGCUCUCUAUUUUCUCAAAGUAAAGAGCACUGUAGAACAUGGAGGCCAGUCCUUUGGAUGAGACUGCAUAAACUGAGAUCCCCUGCUGCAGUAGAUGUUGGCUUGAAAAAGAUCCCUCACAGCUCAAUGGUCAUAAGUACCGAGUGUAGGUAAUAAGUUGCAGCCCUCCACCAGCAAGUGGUAGCGUCUUCAUAUGAGUGAAAAAAAUUCUUGAGAGGGACAUAACACAAAGCAAAGGCUGAAGUAUUUGCUUCAGAAAAGACCUACACCUACAGUGAUCAUUAUUUGAACAAAGUAUGUGACAAAAAAAGCUUGCAGUUGAAAGGCAAAGAAAAGAAUUCAUUAUGACAGGAAAGCUAACUUUUAUAGAACACACUGUACAUGUAGAAACUUUUGUCAAGGUUAAAGAAAUAAUUCUGUUUGACAAGAACAAACUUCUCUUUUUUUGUGUUUUAUUUUUAAAUGGUGUCCAAUAUCUCCAUAUGUUGUACAUUCUAAUAUUAAUUACAUUGGAAAUUAGAUCUGUGCCAAAAUAUGUCAUUGUAAUGUUAGUUUUAUUGUGUGGCCUUUUUCUUACCAUGUAAACCUUAGUGCAUAAAGACUAUAAAUUUUUUUUAUUAUUUCAUUUUUAAAAUUUUUUUAAAAAUAUCUAUAUAAACAUGUUACAGCUAAAUUCUAUUAGUGCAAACACGGAAAUAGCAAAUCCAUGGAUAUAGCGAACUUUAUUUUAGAUCCCCAGCUAUAUAAAUUUAAUGAA